AUUGAUUUAUCAACUUCUAAUACUUUUUAAAGAGCCCCUAUUGUGGGUUUUGAAAAUGAGCUUCCAUGUAGUGUGUAACACAGAUCUAAGUGAAGUGAAAUAUCCAGCUAAGGCUUAAAUCUGAAAGUGGACAGUUUUAAAAACUAUUGAUUCAUCUAAAAAAAAGAGUCGACUCAUUAUGGUUAGAAUGAAUCGUCUUCAUAACGAGUCUUUAGCCGUUUUAACGUGACGUGACUACGAAACAUAGUUGUUAUGGGCGCAAACCCAGGAAAAUUUAAACCUGCGUCCCGUCCACUAACACAGCCUCGAAGACAAACAGAUCCUGAAGUCAUGAGUCAAGAAGACGCUGUGCUUGCCUGGAUAUUAUUGGAAGUGUGAGGGGAAAUAAUUGAUUCAGCAGUCUACACGCUUACAGAGGGCGAUUCAUCCGUUUGAUAAAGGAAGGAUCAGAAAAGACUGGUGUAUGAGACUUGUGAGAAUGAGCAGACAAUACACCAGGCGUGCAUGCAAAAUAAGGCCAGUUUAUUAUGCAUAAAGGCAGCCUGCUACAAUCUGGUGAGCACUACAACCCCUUGGCUGGGGAUGGGAUCUUUGGGCAAAGCAGAGUACAGGUAAGCCCUGAGAACAUAGAACACUUCACGCAAGAGGUGCCACAGCAAUAAUUGCAAAUAGAAAUGAUCUAAGUUACAGCUGAGAAGGGAGAAAAGCUCAGUCACGGAAAUCACGCUCAGUAAAUGAUGUGCACGCUAUCAGUUUCAUUUUCACUGCUAAGUGCCGUUCAUACUUCCCGUGCAGGGGGUUAUGACGGUCACAGGGUUAUCGCGCGGGCCGUCCGCCGGGGGCUUGAAAAACCUGGCAUUUGUUUAGCGCUGAACGCUGUCGACCAAUCGCAACAGGCUGUCAUCGGUCUAAUCAGUGCAGAUUAGCUUCGCGCUAAGGAGGGGUUUGGGAACAAAUGAAUCGCUGAACAAUUCAUAUAGGAGUCGCUGGGAUAAUUGGGUAAAAAUAAAUGCAUAUUAUAAGACCAUGAAAGUGUUUUUUGACCUUGCAUGCAUAUCAGUAUGUUGUUGGAGACCAUAUAACUGAAAUAUGACCCUUUUUAUGUAUAA
rnacentral:lncRNA from 1 species